rnacentral:snRNA from 1 species
GGGCAAUCUCACUGUGACAUCUGUCACCUCAUUGAUUGCCAGAGUUGAUUCAGCUGAUCUGGCUGCCCAGGUGGAUGUCCCCUUCCUCCCAUGUGUAUCCCUCCUGAAGCUGUGCACUCAGUCGAAGAGGACGACCAUCCCCGCUAGAGGAGGACCAUUCUUCAGUCAGGGGUUUACGAGUAGCUGCUCUCCCCGCUAGAACCUUCAAACAAGCUCCCUUAAGUCUUUGCUAUGGUUCAUCAGUUAUCUACUUGCCAGUGACCAUAGAGGACAAAAGAGACUAAAGAACAAAUGGUAAAUUAUAUCCAUU